UGGCGGCGUGCCUAAUACAUGCAAGUCGAGCGCAGGAAACAAGUAGAUCCCUUCGGGGUGACGCUUGUGGAAUGAGCGGCGGACGGGUGAGUAACACGUGGGCAACCUACCUUGUAGACUGGGAUAACUCCGGGAAACCGGAGCUAAUACGGGAUGAUCAUUUGAAUCGCAUGAUUGAAAUGUAAAAGUGGGGAGUAAUCCUCACACUAUGAGGUGGGCCCGCGGCGCAUUAGCUAGUUGGUAAGGUAAUGGCUUACCAAGGCAACGAUGCGUAGCCGACCUGAGAGGGUGAUCGGCCACACUGGAACUGAGACACGGUCCAGACUCCUACGGGAGGCAGCAGUAGGGAAUCAUCCGCAAUGGGCGAAAGCCUGACGGUGCAACGCCGCGUGAACGAUGAAGGUUUUCGGAUCGUAAAGUUCUGUUAUGAGGGAAGAACAAGUGCCGUUCGAAUAGGGCGGCACCUUGACGGUACCUCACGAGAAAGCCCCGGCUAACUACGUG
rnacentral:rRNA from 1 species